CUUCUUCUUCUUCUUCUCCUUGAGAGCAGCUCAAAGCUUGCUUGCAUUUGGCAUCUUUAGGAGGCUGAAUUUUCAGUUUUUCUUCCCUUGAAGCUUGGAGACGGAGGGAGAUUCUCUUCACCGGCGGAUCAUCGGAGAGGUUAGAGAUUAUUGCAGCAAGCCUUAGUUCGCGGGACUUGGUGAACCCGACAUUGUAGCUUGGAGCCAGUACAUCUCCAUUCAUGGCUUGCCCAGCUAGGAGGAGUAAGUCCUAACUAUGUGCACAUGUAUUCAGUAGUAGUGCUACCCCCUGACUGCGGUCGAAGAUCCGACUUCGGUUGUUGAUAUUCUGUUCUGUUAUGGCUUCAUAGUCGACGAUCCAACCUCGUACUAUUGAUUUCUGUUAUCAGUCAGGGAGAUGUACACAUCUGUUUUUCUGCGUGUUUUUCGUAUUUCUGAUUAUUUCCGUAUUCAUAAUAUUUUCUGUAUUUCUGAGUGAAUUAUUAUAAUUACUCUACAAUAUCUGUUAUUUUUGUGAUCCUACUGGGCCUUUGUGGCUCAUGCACUCUGUGAAUUUCUGUUCUCGCAAGAGAAGAUCAAGUCUAGGACCGGGGUGUGUCGUGGAGUCAUUUUUCCUGCUUUGAUAGUAUCUUUGUAGUGCACUUCCUUGUGUGAGUAAGACUUGUAUCCGUCUAUAUAUUUUGGUCUAUAAACUGCUUAUGUGAUAUUAUAUUCUGCAGGACUGUUAAAGUCCAUACUUGUACUGUUUCAG